rnacentral:sRNA from 1 species
CAAACUAAGCCCCCAAGCUAACAGCUAAAGGGCAGCUCAUACUGCGCACUGGGAAACGUAACAACCAUACAUUACCAACCCCGCAAUGCUGUUACUAAAGAUAUUAAUGCUGCUGGUUGCUGGCCAAUUCUAUUUCCAAUGUGAUGCAUCCUGGAAAAUGUAUGUGAGUGGCGAUCGGCCGUGGCAUGUGCGAGCCCACAACAUGCAUCGACCUGCAGCAGAGUACACUACCACGGCAUGAGUGAAGAAGACCCCUUGGAUUUAUGAUGAAAAUAAAGCAUUUGCUAUAUUUCCUCCAUAUUCGUUUAUAGAUUUCGAGCAUUUCAGGUUUGGCAGCGGCCAUUAUUUAAUUUCAACUAUUCUUUUUGUUUCUGGCCGCUUAAAUAUACAUAGCGCCCCUGACUUUAUGCUUAAUUACUUUCAAGUUGGAAUUGCCGUGGACUGCAUUUAGUUCUUCCAUUUGUUGUUCUCGUAGUCCCACUUGGAG